rnacentral:rRNA from 1 species
UACGUAGGUGGCAAGCGUUGUCCGGAUUUACUGGGCGUAAAGAGCGCGCAGGCGGUCGUUCAAGUCGCGUGUGAAAGCCCCCGGCUCAACUGGGGAGGGUCACGCGAUACUGAUCGACUCGAAGGCAGGAGAGGGAAGUGGAAUUCCCGGUGUAGUGGUGAAAUGCGUAGAUAUCGGGAGGAACACCAGUGGCGAAGGCGACUUCCUGGCCUGUUCUUGACGCUGAGGCGCGAAAGCUAGGGGAGCAUACGGG